rnacentral:misc_RNA from 1 species
GAUGCACAUCACUGCGGAGCAUACACAAAUCCUGAGCUAGGCGGCUACUAUACACAUGUUGCACUGAUAGCUACAGUGAUCCCUGUCUGAGACUGAGGUUAGUCUCUAGACCAAAUGAAGAAAAUCAAUCAAGGAUUUCAGAUCCAUUAGAUAAUGUGUGAUAUGCUUGAGGGAAUUAAUGAAAUAUGCUAUGAAGUGUUAAAUUAAGUAUGUAGAUAUGUACAUAAGCAUCAACAAAAUAUAAGUCUAUGUGUCAGUAAGUACAUAGUGUGAAAUCUUAACAGCACAAGCAUUAUAAAAUAAAUGUAGUAGGAUGAAAAUAAAAUAAUGAAAAUGGAAAACACUGUAGAGCAGCUGUAGUCAACUACUUUACCAUCACCGGAAAGUGGGUACAUUUUUGCAAACUAAUUUUUGCAUUGUGUGUCACUGAGAGCAUGGGGAAUUGUGCAUUUCUGCAGCAUGUUUGGAUUCGUGUUUGUAAAAAAUGUGUGUGUGUGU